rnacentral:rRNA from 1 species
AGUGAACGCUGGCGGUAGGCCUAACACAUGCAAGUCGAACGGCAGCACAGUAAGAGCUUGCUCUUACGGGUGGCGAGUGGCGGACGGGUGAGGAAUACAUCGGAAUCUACUUUUUCGUGGGGGAUAACGUAGGGAAACUUACGCUAAUACCGCAUACGACCUACGGGUGAAAGCAGGGGAUCUUCGGACCUUGCGCGAUUGAAUGAGCCGAUGUCGGAUUAGCUAGUUGGCGGGGUAAAGGCCCACCAAGGCGACGAUCCGUAGCUGGUCUGAGAGGAUGACAGCCAAAACUGGACUUAGGAACGGUCCAGACUCCUACGGGAGGCAGCAGUGGGGAAUAUUGGACAAUGGGCGCAAGCCUGAUCCAGCCAUACCGCGUGGGUGAAGAAGGCCUUCGGGUUGUAAAGCCCUUUUGUUGGGAAAGAAAAGCAGCAGGUUAAUACCCCGCUGUUCUGACGGUACCCAAAGAAUAAGCACCGGCUAACUUCGUG